rnacentral:tmRNA from 1 species
GGGAGCGACUUGGCUUCGACAGGAGUAAGUCUGCUUAGAUGGCAUGUCGCUUUGGGCAAAGCGUAAAAAGCCCAAAUAAAAUUAAACGCAAACAACGUUAAAUUCGCUCCUGCUUACGCUAAAGCUGCGUAAGUUCAGUUGAGCCUGAAAUUUAAGUCAUACUAUCUAGCUUAAUUUUCGGUCAUUUUUGAUAGUGUAGCCUUGCGUUUGACAAGCGUUGAGGUGAAAUAAAGUCUUAGCCUUGCUUUUGAGUUUUGGAAGAUGAGCGAAGUAGGGUGAAGUAGUCAUCUUUGCUAAGCAUGUAGAGGUCUUUGUGGGAUUAUUUUUGGAUAGGGGUUCGAUUCCCCUCGCUUCCACCA